GUGCUAGUUUUGGCAGCCCAUAUACUAAAAUUGGAACGAUACAGAGAAGAUGAGCAUGGUCCCUGCACGAGAAUGAUGCACACAUUCGUGAAGAAUAAUUUC